rnacentral:rRNA from 1 species
GAUGAACGCUGGCGGCGUGCUUAACACAUGCAAGUCGAGCGGACGGGCCCUGCUUUUGUGGGGUGCUCGUGUGGGGAGCGGGUGAGUAAAACGCGUGUAAACUGUCCUUAUAUUUGGGAUAUCUCCUGGGAAAAGGGGCGCUUAUCGCGUAGGAUCUCUUGCUGCGUGGGGGGCAAUGGAGAGAUUCGGCGGUGGGGGCUGGUCUCGCGGCUUCUCAGCUUGUUGGGGAGGUAGUGACUUACAAGGUCUUUGAAGGGUAGCCGGCCUGAGAGGGUGGACGGGCACAUGGGGACUACGAUACGGAGCAGACGCCUACGGGAGGCAGCAGUGGGGAAUAUGGCGCAAUGGCCGGAAGCCUGAGGCAGCAAUGCCGCGAGCGGGAUGACGGCCUUCGGGUGGUGAACCGCUGUCUCCGGUGACGAGGCGUGAUUGACGGUAAUGGGUAAAGAAGCACCGGCUAACUACGUG